UCCGGGUGCACACUCACGGUGUCCCGACACUCCCGAGCGGUGAACAAACGCACCCCAUGUUCACAUGAGGAAGAAGCACAGAGGUGACGAAGGAGCCCAGCUCUAGACUUCGAGAUAUGUGAAAGAGGAGAAACCAAUAAAUCGCUCUCUGGUCUGUGCAGCUGAAGUACGGCUUUCAACACGCUGUCAUUUAAUCCUUCCUCCCCAGCUCCAAAGAGGGUUUAGAGUUCAAGAAGUCAAGGUGAACCGGGAAGGACUGGCCAAGGUCACACGCCAAGGCCACAUGCAACGCUGGCCGUGGGGCUCCAAUCCUAAGGAGUCAGCAUCUCCUGCUCCACUUUGCCAAAUAAAAAGAACUCCACACAGAA